rnacentral:rRNA from 1 species
CCUACGGGGGGCUGCAGUGGGGAAUAUUGGACAAUGGGGGAAACCCUGAUCCAGCCAUGCCGCGUGUGUGAAGAAGGCCCUCGGGUUGUAAAGCACUUUCAGUGAGGAAGAACGCCUGGUGGUUAAUACCCAUCAGGAAAGACAUUACUCACAGAAGAAGCACCGGCUAACUCCGUGCCAGCAGCCGCGGUAAUACGGAGGGUGCGAGCGUUAAUCGGAAUUACUGGGCGUAAAGCGCGCGUAGGUGGCUUGAUAAGCCGGUUGUGAAAGCCCCGGGCUCAACCUGGGAACGGCAUCCGGAACUGUCAAGCUAGAGUGCAGGAGAGGAAGGUAGAAUUCCCGGUGUAGCGGUGAAAUGCGUAGAGAUCGGGAGGAAUACCAGUGGCGAAGGCGGCCUUCUGGACUGACACUGACACUGAGGUGCGAAAGCGUGGGUAGCAAACAGGAUUAGAUACCCGGGUAGUC